GUUACUGGCAGUAGAAUGUGAGCACGUUCGUCUGAUUUCCUCGUAUAAACAGGACAGGGCAGUGAAGUCCAAAGCUCAGUGAAUCCAGCCAAGCCAUAUAGAGAGAACUGGGACAGUCACUUUGAGGGACAGACGGCUGUGAUUCAAGCAAUCUUAAAACCAUGGUCGGUCCUCAUUCUCACCAUGAGAAUGUUUCCACAGAUCAUCAAACUGACAUUUUUUGUGAAAGAACCCACAAAGUCAACAAGAGCCGGACGCAAGUUUGGAGGACCAGUCAAAACCAAACACUGAGGUCUAAAGGGGAACGAAAGUUUCACCUGAAAUUCUUGACGUGAUCUUCUACAGUAGCAAGAGAGGCUGAGUAGGACAGAGCCAUGUUGUAGGCACCAGCCUGGACAGACGAGCCCCAGUUAACCUCUACAAGAAAUAUGUGACUAUUACAUGUCUAUCUCUUUAAUGUGUUUUUUUAAGUUUCUUGAAUAUUGCAUUGGUUUAGACCUAAUUAUUACUGUCAUGAGUUGCUCACUUGGUUUCUUGUACAUAACAUAACCUAAUAAAAAGAAGAUGAUGCCGAAGCUGAUAAGAGCAGCCCACCAGGUAAGCAGGAACAUCAGCACCACAGAGAUAACUGCUCCAAAUAGAGCUGUCCAGAGACUGUAGUAUUUAAAAGAUGGCCUCCACCCUGUGAGUGAGAAUAACAGUAGUUUUGUAGUGAGACAUUGCAUAACAAACCACAAAGAAAUACAUCUACACUCAAAACCAACAAUUCUAUCCAUUUGAAAGAACGAAAGUACAUAAGUAGAUAAUUUAAUAUGGCUACUUCUGGAAUAGGCUUAUUAAUUAUUAUUAGUGAUGAUGUAACUCAUGAUGGAUGCAGCAGAAUGAAUUCAGAAACAUUAAAUUCUAAUUUACAGAGAAAUUAAUCCAUUAUAAUUUGGAGAUAUUUCAUCAUGUGACAAGACAAGUCAUGUCCCAAAACACACUUCCAACCCAACAAAGGACUUUAUCAGGAGGGAAAAGUUGAAGGUUUUAGACUGGCCAUAUCAAUCACCAGACAUUAGCCUUAUUAAGCAGCAUUUUACAUCCUGAAAAGAAGAUUGAAGGCAGAACAACAAACACCUGAAGAGACUGUAGUAAAAGCCUAGAAAAGCAUCACAGUGGGUUGCUUUUUUUGUAAUUCAGUUAUUCAAGCUAAAUUAUGCAACCAAAUAUUAAGUGUUAUUAAUUUUAAUUUAUUCAAAACUGUAUGUUUCUAUACAUUUUCUCAGGUAAGAUUUGAGUGGUCUGUCACCAAAGGUGCCUUGUUUUAAGUUGUUUAACAAUGCGAGGAAAUGAAAUCUUUGAAACCUGUGUCUUCAGUGUAUGGAAAAAACAAUAGAAAUUGUGCUUGCGGUUUCAAUACAUUUUAGAGUUUUCUUUAAAGAGGCAGUUUCAGUCUCAGAGCUUUGUAAUGGUCAGUACAUUUUCCUCCAUGGGGGGCACUUCAGGGCAAAGAACUUACAAGAGUGACAAGAGUGACAUCUUAUGAAUUUUAAGAGGCAGAAAUGCAAAAGCUUGUAAGAGGAACUAUUAUGUGUUUUGCCAUAGAGUAAUUUUCCUGUAGUAAUUUAUAACAGCACACUGUCAUGUUUUAUUUUUUACAUAUGAGUUUUAACAACCAAACAUUAUUCCAGUCAUGUUUAGGAUACACUAAUAUAAUCAGUCAUAACAUUGAGGAGGUUUUUUGUCAAAAGCAGUCCGAGGUAGAUUCUCACCUGGUGAGUUGGUGAUUGAGGCAUGGAAACAGCUGAAGUUGAUAAGAGCAUAGGAGCACAGGAAGAAAUUAGAGAUAAGAGGAGCGAUGACGUUUAACUCGGCUGAAAAGACAUGGAAGUACACAUGGAUAUAGAAAACAGAAGGAACGGAUUAAAUGCAUUGUGUAAUUGAUAAAAAAUAUGAUAAGAAAUAACGUGAAGCAUGAGGGCUGUUUUUUUAAAUAGAAGUAAUUAAAAUGCAUUAGUAAUAUUACAUUCAGACUUACAUAACUUUUUUUAGCUGUUAAAUCUUAUUAAUCUCAAUAAAUCUUGUUAAAUUCAAUGAUAAUGUUUAAAAAAAUUGAGCCAGUAACAAUUUGGAAAACACAUCUAAACACAUUUUAAUAUAUUGUACAUCAGAGGCACAGACUACACCACCACUUAAACUUACCAAUGAGAAUGAAGGCCAAAGCAA